UGCAUACUCCCUCCGUCCCAAAAUUCUUGUCUUAACUUUGUUUAGAAAUGAAUGUAUCUAAAUACUAAAACUUGACUAGCUACAUUCAUAUCUAAACAAAUCUANNNNNAGAAUUUUAGGACGGAGGGAGUAGUAG
rnacentral:pre_miRNA from 1 species